AUCUCCCAUUCUUUCCUAUUUCUUAGUAAAAGUGUUCUUUCUAUUCCAUUCAAUUGUUGGGUUCUUAACAAUACAUCAUUUUAUUUGCAAUCUUUCUCAGAAUGCUAACGGGAGAAAAAAACCUCUAAAGAAGCAUAAAAGAUCUCCUAUUGUUGGUGUGGAGGAUAAAGGUAGUAAAACCUCAAGGCAGCCGAGAAAACAAGCAGUUCGUGAACUGUCUAAAAACCCAUUUAACAAGGCUGUUGAGGUUGAUGAUGUCCUCGACCCUCCUUAUGAGUUUGAUGGAGAUGUACUUGAAGAAAACGAUGAUGAGGACGAAGUGGAUUAUUCAUUCAAUAUGAAAAGAGCAUCGACGAGUUCAAAGAAGAAAUCAGUGGCUAAAACUGGAAAAACUUAUAAAAAAACGCAAAAAGGCUAAUGAUGAUUUAGAAAAGGGUACUGAAGAACCUCCUAAAAAGUUCCCGCAUUCAUCUCGGCGAAGAAAAAGAUGUGUGGACAAGGCUCUGCUGGAAGAUGAUUAUCUUGAUCAUCGAACAUUACCUCUUCGAGAUAUUAUUAGACGUGGAGAAUGUAGGGAGCGAUCGGCAAAAAAGGAGGCAAUUAAUUCUAAAACAUCUUCCACCAAUCAAAGGUACACUACGUCACUGCCCUUCGGUUAGAUUUAAGUUAGACAAUCGCAGAAAUGCCACAUUUAUUUUCUGGUCAAUGUUUACCUUUUUUAAUCUGAAAGUAUAUAGCAAAUUAGUGCAUAUCACUGUACACAUCUUGUUUACUACAAUUCGAUGUGAUCCUUACAGUCUCAUGCUAUUGAAUUAAGAAAUAUCUGAAAAUAUUGUGAAACUUUUCUUAAUAAAGCGAAUUUUUUUUUAAUUAUUCUUUUUUGUGAAACCACCAUAUGGCAUACCACAUCUUUCAUUCAGUGAUUCUGUGAAGUCUUUUGACCUGAUGGAUUGCCAUGUUGUCAAGAAGUGCACUAUUUUCAUCCUUGACAAAAUUGGUUCAGGCGGAUUGAGGCAUGGAGCAUGAUAGAUGUGACAGUAUGGAAAUAUAAUUACUUAGUAAAAUUUAUACAACCAUCUUCUAUUUAGUCCCAAGUUAGGAACUAUUGUACAGCUAUUAUAACUGUGAUAACUGAUUCUUUUAGUUAGUUAGU